AACAUAGGGUAACUGCACCAGUGGUGGAUCAUGCACCAGUGGUGGAUCAACUGCGAGAAAAAUGGUCAUUUGUGUUUACACGUUUGUAAGUAAAUGAACCGCAAGUGUCGGUAAUUGUUAAGAAAGUUAUACAGAUCAAUAUUACAAUUUAAAAAAAUUUUUAAAUUCAUCGCGAAGAAAGCAGGACAACAAUUACUAAAGUGGUGACAGAAAACAAGAGUUUUCCUUAACAUGAGGCAUUUCGUUUCAUCCCCAUAGAGUCCUGAGAACAAUAUUUACGUCUGUAAGUAGCGCGUGUCCAUUGUUUUGGGGUGAUCCACGACUGGAACCAAAAAAGUAACAAAAUCUAGUGGUGGAUCAGUCCUACUUUUCGCCUGUUGACGCAUUGUUUUAUUGAAAAUUUUAUGAGUUAAAUUUUAGUUAACACUAAUUCAAAUGUUUAUUAAUUGGUAACACCUGGGGGUCGAUUACGUAACUUUCCCACUUCCCACAUCCCACAUCUCACUUCCCACAUUUUACAUCCCACUUCCCAAAUCCCACAUCUCACUUCCUACAUUUUACAUCCCACUUCCCACAUUUUACAUCCCACAUCCCAUAUUUCACAUCUCACUUCUCACUUCCCAUAUUUCAUAUCCCACUUCCCAUAUUUCACAUCUCACUUCUCACUUCCCAUAUUUCAUAUCCCACUUCCCACUUCCCAUAUUUCACAUACCACAUCCCACUUCCCAUAUUUCACAUUCCACAUCUCACUUCCCACAUUUCACAUCCCACUUCUCACUUUUCAAACUUCACAUCUCACAUUGUACAUUACACUUUUCUUAUCACGCUUCCCACCUUUUAUAUCCCACUUCUCACAUCUCUCCCAUUUCCAACAAGAUGUUGGAUGUGGGAAGUGGUAUGUAAAAUGUGGGAAGUGAGAUGUGGGAAAUGGGAUGUGGGAAUUGAGAAGUGGGAUGUAAAAUGUAGGAAGUGAGAUGUGGGAUGUAAAAUGUGGGAAGUGAGAUGUGGGAUGUAAAAUGUGGGAAGUGAGAUGUGGGAAAUGGGAUGUGGGAAUUGAGAAGUGGGAUGUAAAAUGUAGGAAGUGAGAUGUGGGAUGUAAAAUGUGGGAAGUGAGAUGUGGGAAGUGGGAUGUAAAAUGUGGGAAGUGAGAUGUGGGAAAUGGGAUG